AUUAAAAAAUUCAAUAAAAAUAAAAAAAAAUUAAUUUUUAAAAAAUUGAAUCUUGAAAAUCUAAACCAAAUUGAAUAAUUUUCCCUUAUAAAACCGGAAGAAAAAAUAAAAUAAAAGACCGUAAAUAACUCGCACUCUAUAUCAUCACAUAGCAUAUAUAUACAGUGACAAAACCCUAAAUCUCAUUUCUUCCCACUAUUGCUGCCGUCGCGUUUCCUCGAGACUGCUCGGCUGAAGCCAAAGCCUCGAUUCAUCCACCAUGAAGUUCAAUAUCGCCAAUCCGACCACUGGCUGCCAGAAGAAGCUUGAAAUCGACGAUGAUCAGAAGCUGUGAGUUUAUUUUCCUCGGAAAUUUUUGUUAUAAAUACACGCACAUUCAAAGAAGUUUUUUUUUUUUUCCUUCUUGAUUUGUUCUUGAAAAUGCUUACUUUUUGGUUAAUAUAGUUGGUGGUAAGAAAAUUUGGAUACUAGCUUUUACUCCAUAUGAAACAUUCUCGUGGCAUAGGAAUUUUUGUUGUAUGUAGAGUCAUAAGAACAGUAAUGUUGUAGAGAAACCCAAAAUCAAAUAUCAUUGGCAGGGUGUUUCACUUGUUGAAAUGUUGGAUUUAGGUUUAUUGUUCCAAAUGGCUGUAGAAAGGUAUUGUGGAACUCAACUUCAUUGUUGUGUACUCAUUGCAAUGGUAAAACAUAGAUUCGGCUUUCAAUUACUGAUUUUUUUUUCUUUCAUACCUUUCUGUCAAUUCCCAUGUCAGAUUUUAAGAAUUUAGUUGCUGUUUUUUUCUCUGGGUGAAGACUUGUUUUUAAUGUAAUUUCAAUCCCAAGAUGUUUAGGCUGUGUUUGGUUUAUUGAUUUGGGUAGAGAUUUGGAAAGAGAAAGGGGAAAGUUGUGUGAAAUAUACCUUUUCCCUUUCCAAAUUCUUUGCCCAAUCCAUGAACCAAACACAACCUUAAGGUUUCAUUGCAUACUGUGAUCACUUGCUCAAUCCAUCUUACAAGCCCUCUGCAAAAGCAUGAAGUUCUAAAGUUUUAACUUUUCAACCACACAAACAACCUACUGGCUUGAAAUGAGUAGAGUAACCUGUUCACAUUUCGUAGUAGCUUUUGAGGUACCUGGGUCACAUGAAAUGCAUGACCUUUUGCUUCUUUUUUUCUAAUGUAUAGUCAUGACGUCCAAACCUACAACUUCUGUAUGAUGAGGUGCAAGUGAAAUUAUUGAAUAUAUUUCAAUGAAGAAAAUGGGUGAUAGAAGAAAUGAAAGACAAAAUGGCAUGACAUGCUUGUUAUUUAUUUAUUUAUUUGUUUCUUUAAAAACUCUUCCCCCAGUUCCCUUAUAUUCAGAUAAAAUUUCUUAUGUGGCUAUAAAUUCCUUAUUUGUUUGCAUGUAUUUGGAUGUCCUUUAAAAAUUUAAUGGCCCUUCGCUGUUUUAUGCUACUAUCUCUAGUGGAAGUAUUUUUCUUUUUUGGGUGAAUAAUCUCUAGUUGAAAUACACAAUGUUGAAAGGAGGCAUUUGAUAGAGUGAAAUUCAUUCAAUAAAGAAUGGGAAUUUUUAACUUGCUUUCUCAUAAAGCUUUAAAAUGGACUCAUGGUUGCUGUUUUUUUUAAAGGCCUCAUUUUAGAUGACAAAUUUUGAUCUUCAUGUUUCACAGAAGCACAAUGGGGCAGUUCAUAUUCUAGUAAUAUCAAAUGCUUUCCCAGUCUUGCUGGAAUCAGGCGGGGAAAUCUUUAGGCCUUUGGAGUCAAUUUCUUUUCAUAUUUUAACUUUAUUGCAGUUGAACAAAUUGACAUCUUGAUUUUUUAAUAUCUCAUCAUCACCACUGUUAGAACAUUCACUACUACAAAAAGGGCAAACGAGCCCUAGCCGUUCGCAAAGCAAUGUAUAGUCCUGUCUAUGCACGUAUAUGUAUUCACCACCUUCACCACAUCUCCUAAAUUUCUUUAUUUUUUUAUUAUUUUAUUUUAUUUUUAUUGGCUGUUGUGUUUCUGGUUCUAGUUCUAGACCCACUUUGAUUUGUUUUGUUGUUUUUAUGGCCUGUUGUGUUUCUUGUUCUAGACCCACUUUGAUUUUGUUUUGUUGUUUUGUUUUUCUAUUGGAUAUUCUGUUGAUUCAGUCCUUAUGUUGGGUGUGUAUUGUAAUGUUUGACAAAAAAUAGCAUAGAAAACAUGAACCAGCUUAGAUUACCCAAACUUGUAGGAAUGGGCCAUAAUUUAAAUGGGGUUUGAUUGAAAUUUGUAAAUUUUUAAAAAGGGAACAUGUAAGAGUUUCUGAAUUAAUUCUGGUUAUGUCAAAAUUCUGGGAAUAGAUAUUGAUUAUGGUUGUCUUCAUUGCUGCUUGUUACCUUGAACACCUAAUGACAUUUAUAUCUGGGCAGAACCUCAUUAUUUUUCUUCUCUUCUCUUCAUUUCCCCCCAUUUCUUCUUUUUCCAGCUCACUAUUUCAGAAUUUUAUUUUUUUUUGUUAGGUCAUUUUUUCUGCUAAUUUUUUUCCUUUUGCUUCCAGGUUCUAGUUUUCUUCUCUUGUCCUUCAUAUUCUCUGAUUUUCUGCUCUGUUUUGCUGAUUUUCUGCUUUGGUUUUCUCCUCCCUUCUACUGGUUUGUUGCUAUCUUGAAAUUGGAACAAUUGUUGUGGAGUUCUCAUGCAUAAAAGUUCCAAAUUGAGAAUAACAAAGCUUAAAAUGAGAAGUAGACCAAGCAUAGAAAGUAUCUUGAGGGUUAUGCAACCUCGUUUUCAGGUUUCAAGAAAAAUAGGUCAGUUCCUGCAUUUUCGAUGUAUAACAGAAAGUUACGAAAGAAUCACGAACAAUGUCAAAUUUCAGGUGUCCUUCGACAUGAAAACAAACUAUUUAAAUGACAAUUAGUGGUUUUGGAGUUUAGAAAUAGAUUAUAAAUGAAGAUCACAAACAAAUGGAAAACAAAAUUUGAUGUCAAAGACCCAACUAAUGGAGCUUGAAAAGGGGAAAGGGGAAAAAAAAUUAAUAAUAAUUUCCUACCAUUGAUGUUGAUGUGAUGUGUAGGAUUGAGAUGUUUACUUUUUUGAUAUUUGUGGGAUUAUAGACAGUAUGGAACGAGGGAGAGCAAAGAAGUUACAGUUAAUGGAGAGAGUUCAAUUUGAUUUGCUUCAAGUUAUGCUCAUUGGGAUUGUUUUCUAUGCUCUCUCAGAUUGGUUCAUGGUGGUAUAUUCAUGAAGAUUUUAUCAAAACCGAAAAUUUAUACUAUCACUCUAAUUGUGCAGGUUAUGCAAAGGGAUUAUAAACUCAGUUCGUAUUCAUUGAAUUCUGUUUCAGCACGCUUUGUUAAUGAGCAGGCAAGAAAACCUUUUUCUUUUCUCCGUUCAAUUGGAUUUGCAGCCGGUACUUCUGUCUGUGCCAAGUAACAAGUCCUCGCAUCCUACAUUUUAUCUUUGUGCUUGUGCCUUUUUGUGACUUGAAUUACAUUACUCUCUUUGUUGUUAAGCUUGCUCAUCUUUGUUUAAGCACACUAUUUGAUCACUUAAUCUCAUAUUCAUGAUGUCUCUACUACUCUCUGCUACAAUGUUAAAUCUAUAUACUAUGUUAUAAUGGCAGGGAUACGUGGGAUCUAAUAAGAAAAGAAAUAGAGUUCUUCAUUCAGUACUGAAGUCCACUAUAUAGCCAUGUUUCAUCCACACACAAACUCUCUUAUGUACAACAAGGUUGCUUCAAAACAAAAAACCAUCUACAAAAAACACUGAAGUUAGAUGUGCUUUUCGAAUUUCGUUAACACUUCAAUUAGGACCCCAAUAGCUCAAAUACAUCACUGUCCAGAGAGAUUCCUCAGCUUGUUUGUAUCUGUUAUCAUUGCUAUCCUUAUCAGCUUUGUUAUAGGCCAAUUGAUUAUAAGCACCGACAUUUGUUCUCACCUGCUUAGAAGAUCCAGAAGGGAAGGCAGAAGUAGAAGCAGAGUCAUGACUUGCUUUCAUGGCUAAGUCACACUUCGGAGACUUCUCUUUGAUUCUCUGCAUCACUGGUAA